rnacentral:lncRNA from 1 species
AGGGGCUCCUGGGAGAUGUAGUCUGGGGCCUGGAAAGGCGCCGCGCAAAGGACUCUGGGGCUGUUCGUUCAGAGAAAGCGCAAGCGAUAUCCCACCCCUGGCCUGGAGCAACAUCCCUUCGCUCCUCUCCGGGGUCCAUUCGUGUCCGGGCCGGGAUCCCUCAACCUCACGAUCCGGGAGUGGCCGUCCUGAACGGCGCAACGUACCGGAGGCUUCUGGGACGUGCAGCCUGGGCUCGCAGUGCGCAUGCGCGAGCGCGUGCGUUACGGUCCGUGGGUGAGCCUGGCUCCCCAAACCCCUCUGAGCUCCAGGGGCAAAGGGGAGGGUGUUGGGGCUAGAAGCCCCCGGACGGGAACGUGUAGGUGUGGAUGCUGGGGAGGCUGGGUUUGGUUGAAGGGAUCAAGGAAGGGUCUCAGCACCCGAAAACAUCUACGUGAUUUUAUAAAGACAGCAACAAGUGGGGCCCUGGGAAGCGCUAGGCGGCCCUUGCGCGUGCGCGCGGCGCAGCGUGUUCCGAGGGCUGGUGUAGGGGCGGGGCCUCGGGCGGGCACGCGAGCGGCGAUGCCCCCAAGAGCGGCUCUGAGUGCGCGAGCGCGCCUGCGUAUGCCUGCCUGUGAGUGGGUUGGGGGCCUCAGGUCUGUGCCUGUGGAAAGGUCCCGGGAGAGUGUCAGGCUUCCUUGA